UACGGGGGGGGCAAGCGUUGUUCGGAAUUACUGGGCGUAAAGGGCUCGUAGGCGGCCAACUAAGUCAGACGUGAAAUCCCUCGGCUUAACCGGGGAACUGCCUCUGAUACUGGAUGGCUUGAGAUUGGGAGAGGGAUGCGGAAUUCCAGGUGUAGCGGUGAAAUGCGUAGAUAUCUGGAGGAACACCGGUGGCGAAGGCGGCUACCUGGACAAUUGCUGACGCUCAGGCACGAAAGCGUGGGGAGCAAAAGGG
rnacentral:rRNA from 1 species